rnacentral:rRNA from 1 species
UGAACGCUGGCGGCGUGCCUAAUACAUGCAAGUCGAGCGAACAGACGAGGAGCUUGCUCCUCUGACGUUAGCGGCGGACGGGUGAGUAACACGUGGAUAACCUACCUAUAAGACUGGGAUAACUUCGGGAAACCGGAGCUAAUACCGGAUAAUAUAUUGAACCGCAUGGUUCAAUAGUGAAAGACUGUUUUGCUGUCACUUAUAGAUGGAUCCGCGCCGCAUUAGCUAGUUGGUAAGGUAACGGCUUACCAAGGCAACGAUGCGUAGCCGACCUGAGAGGGUGAUCGGCCACACUGGAACUGAGACACGGUCCAGACUCCUACGGGAGGCAGCAGUAGGGAAUCUUCCGCAAUGGGCGAAAGCCUGACGGAGCAACGCCGCGUGAGUGAUGAAGGUCUUCGGAUCGUAAAACUCUGUUAUUAGGGAAGAACAAAUGUGUAAGUAACUAUGCACGUCUUGACGGUGCCUAAUCAGAAAGCCACGGCUAACUACGUG